rnacentral:rRNA from 1 species
AACGAACGCUGGCGGCAUGCCUAACACAUGCAAGUCGAACGAGACCUUCGGGUCUAGUGGCGCACGGGUGCGUAACGCGUGGGAACCUGCCCUUAGGUUCGGAAUAACUCCCCGAAAGGGGUGCUAAUACCGGAUAAUGUCUUUGGACCAAAGAUUUAUCGCCUUUGGAUGGGCCCGCGUUGGAUUAGCUAGUUGGUAGGGUAAAAGCCUACCAGGGCGACGAUCCAUAGCUGGUCUGAGAGGAUGAUCAGCCACACUGGGACUGAGACACGGCCCAGACUCCUACGGGAGGCAGCAGUGGGGAAUAUUGGACAAUGGGCGAAAGCCUGAUCCAGCAAUGCCGCGUGAGUGAUGAAGGCCUUAGGGUUGUAAAGCUCUUUUACCCGGGAUGAUAAUGACAGUACCGGGAGAAUAAGCUCCGGCUAACUCCGUG